UACGUAGGCAGCGAGCGUUGUUCGGAGUUACUGGGCGUAAAGCGUGCGUAGGCGGUCCCACAAGUCUGUUGUGAAAUCUCCCGGCUCAACUGGGAGGGUGCGGUGGAAACUGUGGGGCUGGAGUGUGGGAGAGGUAGGCGGAAUUCCUGGUGUAGCGGUGAAAUGCUUAGAUAUCGUCAAGAACACCGAUAGUGAAGACAGCUUACUAAACUAUAACUGACGCUGAGGCACGAAAGUGUGGGGAUCAAACAGG
rnacentral:rRNA from 1 species